ensembl:antisense Gm11659 predicted gene 11659
ACUAGAAACCCUGACUAAGGCACACCAGGACACCAGGUGGCUGGGAGCAGCUCUCCUGGUUGAGAUGGCACCCCAAGUCUAUAAUUACAGAUGUGACCCACCAAGCAAUCAAUCAAUCCAGCUAGAUGCUUCGAACAGAUACAUCCUCUCUUUGAGGCAGUUCCUCUCCGACUCAAGAGUGUGAGGCUCUGUCAAAGGUUGCAGCCUGGCUCAUAAGCUGCAGUCACCGCCCACACAAUUCUGGAUUUCUGCUGUCUGGUGAACAGUGAGGACAUCUUACCUUGUGGACCAGCCACCUAUUAUAGACUUUAGUUUCAGGGGAAAAAUAACUUGCGUCUGAAGACGAGUUACUUAACUGGCUUCGUUAACCUGAUGACGUGGCUCUUUCCCCUUCCAUGUCUUCUGGAUCUUUGGAGAUGUAUCUGG